rnacentral:rRNA from 1 species
CGCCGGGCGGCAGCUAUACAUGCAGUCGAACGAACCAUCCUGAAGAUUGAAGCUUGCUUCAUGAUUCAGACCUUGGUGAGUGGCGGACGGGUGAGUAACACGUGGGUAACCUGCCCAAAAGUGGGGGAUAACAUCUGGAAACAGGUGCUAAUACCGCAUAACAACUACUUUCUCAUGAUCGUAGCUUGAAAGAUGGCUCUGCUAUCGCUUUUGGAUGGACCCGCGGCGUAUUAGCUAGUUGGUGAGGUAAUAGCUCACCAAGGCAAUGAUACGUAGCCGACCUGAGAGGGUAAUCGGCCACAUUGGGACUGAGACACGGCCCAAACUCCUACGGGAGGCAGCAGUAGGGAAUCUUCCACAAUGGGCGAAAGCCUGAUGGAGCAAUGCCGCGUGAGUGAAGAAGGUUUUCGGAUCGUAAAACUCUGUUGUUGAAGAAGAACAUGCGUGAGAGUAACUGUUCACGUACUGACGGUAUUCAACCAGAAAGCCACGGCUAACUACGUGCCAGCAGCCGCGGUAAUACGUAGGUGGCAAGCGUUGUCCGGAUUUAUUGGGCGUAAAGAGAAUGUAGGCGGUUUAUUAAGUUUGAAGUGAAAGCCCUCGGCUCAACCGAGGAAGUGCUUCGAAAACUGGUAAACUUGAGUGCAGAAGAGGAAAGUGGAACUCCAUGUGUAGCGGUGGAAUGCGUAGAUAUAUGGAAGAACACCAGUGGCGAAGGCGGCUUUCUGGUCUGUAACUGACGCUGAGAUUCGAAAGCAUGGGUAGCAAACAGGAUUAGAUACCCUGGUAGUCCAUGCCGUAAACGAUGAGUGCUAAGUGUUGGAGGGUUUCCGCCCUUCAGUGCUGCAGCUAACGCAUUAAGCACUCCGCCUGGGGAGUACGAUCGCAAGAUUGAAACUCAAAGGAAUUGACGGGGGCCCGCACAAGCGGUGGAGCAUGUGGUUUAAUUCGAAGCAACGCGAAGAACCUUACCAGGUCUUGACAUACCAUGAAAAGCUAAGAGAUUAGUCUUUCCCUUCGGGGACAUGGAUACAGGUGGUGCAUGGUUGUCGUCAGCUCGUGUCGUGAGAUGUUGGGUUAAGUCCCGCAACGAGCGCAACCCUUAUUAUCAGUUGCCAGCAUUCAGUUGGGCACUCUGGUGAGACUGCCGGUGACAAACCGGAGGAAGGUGGGGACGACGUCAAAUCAUCAUGCCCCUUAUGACCUGGGCUACACACGUGCUACAAUGGUCGGUACAACGUGCUGCGAACUCGCGAGGGUAAGCAAAUCACUUAAAACCGAUCUCAGUUCGGAUUGUAGGCUGCAACUCGCCUACAUGAAGCUGGAAUCGCUAGUAAUCGCGGAUCAGCAUGCCGCGGUGAAUACGUUCCCGGGCCUUGUACACACCGCCCGUCACACCAUGAGAGUUUGUAACACCCAAAGUCGGUGGGGUAACCCUUCGGGGAACUAGCCGCUAAGUGACAAUGA